ensembl:lncRNA
AGCACAUACAUGCACAUGCGUGUGUGUGUGCAAGCAGCAUGUGGACAAAGCAUCCUGUGUGCAUGGAGAUGAAGCAGAGCUCGCCCUGCCCUCAAGGAGCUCCUUGUCCGGUUUGGAGGGUGGAGAACGGAAGAGUGGGCAGAAAGACAUUCCUGCAAAAGACUGAUGCAUGGAAACCAAGGCACACUCUCCCACUCAGGUACACAGGUUCACAGGUAGACAGGUACACAGCGAGGCAGGUACAGACAGAGAGCGGUGUUGAAACUUGGUGAUAAAACUUCUGAUCCUGUUCAUCCCAGUGGACUCAGUGCUGGGCCCUGGGCACAUAAAGCUGAGUCAGACUCAGUCCCAACCCUAGAGGGGAGCUCUCACCCAGAGGGCAGAUGGACAGAUCCCCACAACAUAGUAUGUUAAGGGCUGAAUUGCACGAGUUCCCCAGGGGCCAUGGGUGACCUCAGCCUGGUCGGGUGAAGCUCCUCAGAAGAGGAGACAUUUCUGCUGAGCCUGGAAGGACAGGAAGGAGCUUACCAGAAAAAGAAGGAAGAGAAGGCUUGCCUGGCAGGGAAAAUGGCAAACACAAAAGCCUGGAGGUGGGAAUGUACAAGGCGUAUUUGGGAAACCGCUCAGGUGUCCUAAAGGUUUUCUGGCUGGCAGGAGGAGGGUAUCUUUUAAAAGGGAUAUUGGAAGCAGCUCUUGAGUCAGGAGGGAGGGACCAUCUGGCCCAGGGGUCCAGGCAGUGGCAGUAACAUUGUAGAGACAGAAAGUCAAGGAAAGAUGGGAAAAGCUCCUCCCCAGCUGUCCCUCUGAAGACUUCUUACCCUUGCUAUUCCUGUUUUUACAGGCAAAGAACGGGACAGCUCCCUUAGCAGCCGACCAGCCACCAGCCCAGCUCCCCCAGUGCCUCGCCUUCACUCUCCCUUCUUAUUCCAAUAUCCCCACCCUCCAGCCCCACCCUAGCCCAGUGGGGCAACACCAGGUCCAUGCCCUCUUCCACCUUGAAAGGAACAAUUCUAAAAACCAGAGAGAAAGCCAUCUGGUCAGGCUGCUCAUCAGAAAUAACUGCCAAGUCUGAGAGGUCAUCCUGUCGCUGUCUCCUCUCCCCGGGGACCUGGGGACAUGGGGUGACGGCCAAGGAGUGCCCGUGGCACCUGUCAAUGCACGGACUGCUUGUCUGCAGGCAUUGAUUUCUCUCCUUCCUGACCUUUCAGGAGAGGCGCCCUGAAUUCCAUGCCAGGUCAUUACAGAGCCGGUGGCUGAGACUCUAGGAGACCCAGCCCCACUGGCUGCAGCCCCUUCGGAUGCAUCUAUGAGAGCAGCCUGGCCAUCACCCGCCGGCCUGGCCCGUGCUGUCAGCCGGCCAGAGCGUGUCUGAAUCGAGGAAAGCUGACUGGGGCUCGAUUCACACUGACUCAAGCCGCAAGGCGAGUUUAUGGUUCUUGAUUACACCCAGCAGGGAGGCCUUCUUAGUGAUGAGAGAGAAAAUAUUCAACAACCUGUCUUUGCAAUGUGCUGAUCUCUUGGAGAGAGAGAGUGUGUGUGUAGAGAAAGUGGAGGAGGGGUUUCAGAGGACAGUGAUUUAUGAGUGAAAAGAAGGUCUUCUAAAAAAAAAAUCCAGGGCUCCCCCAAACUGCCUCAACAUUUCCUCUUUCUCAUCGUUGGGUUUUGCCUUGGUAUAACUUUGAGGCACAGUGAUUGCAGCCCUGUGGGCUUCUGCAAGCUGGUGCAAAGCUUUAAAGGAUGCAGGCCCGGAAGGCGCUGUAGUCCGUCCAGCUUUCACUCAGCAUUGCCUCGCAGCUGGGAGAGGUCUUGGACAGCGCUGCCUGCAGAGGCCCGGUGCAGCCCAAUCCCCAAGCCCCUUCUCUCCUUCACACCCUUUUCAUGUUCUGCUUCAUACUUAAACUGCAUCUGCUUGCACUCGGCGCCCAAACAUGGUGCCUGGCUCAUGCUCGGUGUUAAUAAACGAACAAAUGUGUGAACGGGUAUGCAUCUACUCUCCCUUCCCAGGCCGUGCCUCCCAAAACCUCCAUCCAGUAACCUAAACAGAGUCAGCCCUGAUGAUGUGUUGGGAUGAAUGAGUGAGUAAGUAACACGAUCCAUACCCUGUAGAGCCUGGGCACUCUAACUGGGCUGCUUCGCCCUGUGUGGUGUUUCUGAAGCUCACUCUGGUUUUAAACGACACAUCCUAGGCUCCCAGAAAAUGGGAUGCUGGGGGAAGAAGGGGGACUUUUCUGAAGACAUUUUCAGUUACUUCUUAAUAAUUCAUGGGAACUAGAUAUUUAAACCAUUGGAUCUGAAAGCACCUCCCAGCAGUCACUGAGCAUGUGGUGGGGGGAAGGAAAGAGGAGCCCAGGUUUCUCCAAGAACCCCAAUCUCUUCCUUCCCAAAGCAUCAGAAAGGAGUCUAGGGGCUGGCCAUGUUCCCCUUUCUUCUCUCCCUCACGCCCUCUCUCUGCCCCCUUAGCUUCCCUGGGGCUCUCCUGUGGCCCAACUAAGUCUCCUGCCACUUCCCUUUCUGCCUCAGCUCCCUACUUGAGGGAUAAGGAAGGCAUCUCAGAAGAAAGAAGGCACCCUUAUCUUCAUAUAAACAUCAGGAUUCCAGCCUCCAGGAUGCAUCCUGGGUUCCUAUCGCCAAGGCAGGAGGGAGCCAGUGAGUGGAGGGCGGUGAUACCAGGCUUGCCACCACCAGCAGUAGUGAGCC